CUGAGCUCUGUGAGCUGAUUCCACCAGUGACUGAGCACAGACCAGCACCAUGGAGCUGGGGCUGCGCUGGGUUCUCCUUGUUGCUCUGUUGAAAGGUGUGCAGUGUGAGGUGCGGCUGGUGGAGUCUGGGGGAGGCUUGGUGCAGCCUGGGGGGUCCCUGAGACUCUCCUGUGUAGCCUCCAGAUUUGACUUCAGUAGCUAUGACAUGAACUGGCUCCGCCAGGCUCCUGGGAAUAGGCCUGAGUGGAUUUCAUACAUCUAUGAUAGUAGUAGUAUAAACUACGCAGACUCCAUGAAGGGCCGCUUCACCAUCUCCAGAGACAACAGCAAGAACACACUUUACCUGCAGAUGAACAGCCUGAGAGUGGAGGACACGGCCGUCUAUUACUGUGCUAGAGACACAGUGCAGGAAAUCCAGUGUGGGCCAGACACAAACCUCCCUGCAGGGACGCAGCAUCCUCCACAGAGCUGUCUGGCGUGUUAA